GGUUCAGGACGAACGCUGGCGGCGUGCCUAAUACAUGCAAGUCGAACGGUCUUUCUAUGGAAGCUUGCUUCCACUGAGAAGAUAGUGGCGAACGGGUGAGUAACACGUGGGUAACCUGCCCAUAAGAGGGGGGAUAACAUCCGGAAACGGGUGCUAAUACCGCAUAGUUUUCUUGAUCGCAUGAUCGGGAAAGGAAAGACGGCCUUUGUGCUGUCGCUUAUGGAUGGACCCGCGGCGUAUUAGUUAGUUGGUGAGGUAACGGCUCACCAAGACGAUGAUACGUAGCCGACCUGAGAGGGUGAUCGGCCACAUUGGGACUGAGACACGGCCCAAACUCCUACGGGAGGCAGCAGUAGGGAAUCUUCCGCAAUGGACGAAAGUCUGACGGAGCAACGCCGCGUGAGUGAAGAAAGGUUUUCGGAUCGUAAAACUCUGUUGUCAGAGAAGAACAAGUUGGAGAGUAACUGCUCCAGCCUUGACGGUAUCUGACCAGAAAGCCACGGCUAACUACGUGCCAGCAGCCGC
rnacentral:rRNA from 1 species